CAGCUGCUGCUUUAUUUCUUCCCUGGUGAGGAAUACUUGUUGGUUUUUCUACUUGAUAAUUUUAGAGUUCAAAUAAACACCAGUAAGUUGAUAUUGGAAAUUUCUAACAAGAAAGCUUUAAUUUUCCUCCCCUGUCUGUAGAGAAAUGUGUGUAUUCACGCUGGUGCUGUUUAUGCAGGGGAGAUCAAGCCAUGGCUGGUUUGCUCUUAACACAAACACUUGGCCGUGGAGCCUCCUUUGCCAGUCGGUGCCCACCCCGUGCACUCCAGUGCACUGCCCUAAAUGAGAGGUUUUAUUUCUCCCCUCAGCCUAAAGUCCACAGGGAUACCUUGUAGGUUUCUCUUUUUAGACUUAUUUUCCUUUUUUUCUACUUGUUUUUGUGUGGAAAAUCCCAGUAAAGGUAAUGGUAAAUGUCCUGCCAUCCACAUGACCAUGGAAAAUCAGUAUGCUAAGGCCUAACUUACAGCUUUGCAUGAUGUUUAGCUGAUAUCUGAGAGAACAGUGUGUGUUUAGGCUGAUAACCUGACUUGAUUUUAAUGUCUUCUCUUUUUUGCAUACAAGGUGUGUGGAUCAUAAGUGCUUUCUAAUUUUUUAGUGGUAUGAUCUAAUUUCUGCAUGCUAAUUCUGGACUGCUCUACACCGUGUUACAAAUACACAAAAGCCUGUUAGUUUUGAGCUUGGCUGAGAAGCAGGAAAGGAACAGCUCUUGGAUUGCUAAAUGAAAAUGCAGAAAUGCAAGCAGGGAAAACAUGCAAUAAUUUGUCAAACGUUGAGGACCUCGCUUGGCUCCUGAGAAUUUGUAGAUAAUGGACAGUGGGGAAGAUAUGCAGUUGUUCAUACUGAAAUACUCUGGUUUCUGUGUUUAGUACAAAGGUAAGGUGCACGUGCAGACUGUGCUCAGGUCUUGUCACCUGUGACAAACAGGACCCUCUUCUGUAGCAAGAGUCAUUUGGAUCAGUAGGGAUGGGGAAAACAGGGACUCCAAAAGGCAAAGUGAGCACUGCAGAAAAAUCUGAAUCUGAAAUUUAGGACAAAACUACUUGUGUCAUGUUUUCAGAACAUAAAGAAGUGGCAUUAGGGGUGUUUAUGUAUUCAUUACAUGAUGGGAAACAGUGAAGCAUUCAUCAUCCUAUCAGCUCCAAAGUACUAAUGAAAUUUCUUCUGUGGCAAUCAGCUGGAGUGUUCCCCAUUUAUACAGCUCAUUCUUUCCCCAUUCUUUGUUGCUGCAAAUGUGAUUUGAAACAAACGUGGGUUUUCUGUGCUGCCAUGAGCCCCUGAGGCAGGCAGGAGGAGGUGGUGCCUGAGCAGUUGGGAUGCGAGGAGGGCGCUGGCAUUGCCUGCCAAAGGUGACUCCUGGAACACUUGGAGACUUUGACAGCAGUUCUGAGACCACCCAUGGCUCCCAGGCCAGCUCUGUAAGUAUUCCACCCAGGGAAUAACAAGGGUGCCAUGGAGCUGCUCUGGCUCUGUGUCAGAGCAUUUUAGCCUCGGAAGAUUGAGGCUCUUGUUCUUUGCUCUCCCCAGCCUGCAGUGCUGCCCUGCACAGUGAGGGAGAGUAGAGCCCCCGAGUGGGGCUGCCUGGGCUGCCCAAUGGCUCCUGUGUUAUUUCCUGCACCUCGGGAUGGCCAGCCCGAGGGAAGGCAUUCCAGGGGCAUCCUCGUGGCCUCUGGGCAGGGCUCACCAACAACUGCUCAUGUGUGCAGUGGCCUGGCAGGGUCCCGAUGGCUCUGCUUGGCUGCCUAUGGGGUUUUAGGCACAGGUUUGGGAGGGUGGAGCUGCCUUUGGGAGGAGGUGUGCUCCUGGAGCCAGAGCGAGAGAGGCUCUGCUGGGCUUUGCACUCUCUCUGCACAGUUGCUUUUGUGAAGGACUUUUUUUUUUUUUCUUUAGGUUUUUUUUUCUUUUUUAUUUAACCUGACUGAACAAAAUUUUUAUUAUAUCAGUAAAAUUUCUGAGUUUUGUGCUUUGAAGAGUUUUAAGGAUUCCUGCUGAUGCUUUUCCUGAGGGAAGCCAUGCCCUACCACGGAGUCCUUCGCCUGGUCCUGCUAACGCUGUGCAGCAUCCUGGUCCCUGCUGUGCUGGCAGCAGAGUACCCGCAGGACCCGGUCCCCACGCUCUGGAACGAGCCGCCCGAGCUGCCCUCCGGAGCCGGUCCCUUCGACGCUGCCGCCAGCACCCCCGCCCGGCUGUCGGACGCCACUGCCUUCCCCCCGUACACCCCCGAGCUGGAGGCCGAGGACACCACGCACCUGCACCGGCUGGACGCCGGGGACGGUGAGCGGCUGCGCAGGGACUGCCCGCGGCUCCCUCCCGCAGCAGCCUGGGCGUCCUCACGGUGGAUCUGCUCCCUGUGGGCCUGCCUCCUGCCGGGAACGGUUAAAGCCACACUGCUGGCGAGAGGGAGGGUUACCUUUCAUCGCCUGCUCGUGGAAACUUCCCUGUGAAAAGCCUCUGCUGUGGAGCCCUCGCCAGCCUCAAGAUGGCUCCAAGACCCUUCCUCCUGCCCCAUGACCUGUCACGGCAGGCACCUGCCCUGAUAAGAAAACUGCCCUGAGUGUAGGCUCGCUGGGGCCUGGAGCUAUUGGUGCCAUUGUCAUCGCCUCCCUCCUGGGUACAUCUGUGCUUGUGGCCUUGGUUGUCAUCACACUGAGAAAGUUCUCGGCCUCCUGAACUCAAUAAAAGAUUUUUC